rnacentral:rRNA from 1 species
UACGUAGGGUGCAAGCGUUGUCCGGAAUUAUUGGGCGUAAAGAGCUUGUAGGCGGCUUGUCGCGUCUGCUGUGAAAUUUCGGGGCUCAACCCCGAACUUGCAGUGGGUACGGGCAGACUAGAGUGUGGUAGGGGAGACUGGAAUUCCUGGUGUAGCGGUGAAAUGCGCAGAUAUCAGGAGGAACACCGAUGGCGAAGGCGGGUCUCUGGGCCGCUACUGACGCUGAGAAGCGAAAGCAUGGGGAGCGAACAGG